AAUUAUGAAGAAGGUGAGAUACAGCCACUGAACUGAGAUACAAUAUAGAAAAAGAAUACUAAAACCAAGAUAUAAAAUAAAAUGUAUCCAGAUGAACAUUGAUAAUAUCAAUUCGAGGGUAUUUAGUUAUUUACUUGUAUCCAGGAUUUUAAAUAAAGGGCUUACAUAUCCUAUCGUCACUACGUAAUGGGAUUUCGGACCUCUAAUACCAUUGGUCACUUACGACUGCUGAUACGGUCCGAUAUAGACAACUAUAUGGCCAUAUCACCGAUACCGUUACGUUUCGCGAUACCGCGAUUUAAAACCCUGCUCAUAUCGGGUCCAGAAAAAUUCAAAAGCAAUUUGUAAAAUCAAAUCAUCAUAUACUAAUUUUGAAGUAAGGAUUUCAACUGAACGAGUUCCACCAAUGGAAACAGAUGCAUAGAAUUGACGGAAAACAACAGACACAGUAAGUUUGGUGACAGCAUUUCCGCUAAAAAACUAAAGGAAAAGAGCGUAAAAAAGAACUUGCGUGCAGCAUUCGAAUUUUUCAAAAGCAAAUGCAUGAAUGAUGACAAAAUCAAGCAAAUUUUUUUUUCAUCAUGUUAAAAUAUCCAUCACUCUAAGUCACCAGAAGCAUUGCACAACUUUCAAAUGCAGGCCUCUGCUUGGCGUUUGGUGGAUUAUGAACAGCAAAGUCACCGAGCUGUAGUCCAAUUCCAUGAAUAAAUAGGAAGCUUUAAACUGAUGUUAUUGCUGUAAUUCUAGGUAGUAUCAAGCACGAUUCUCCUUUGAUUUCAGGCACCAAGUAAUUAUCAGCUUAUAUGGAAAUACAGAUCAGCUCCCCAAGGAAUAGGAAGCUAAACACUUGUCUAUACAGUAGCAAGUUCUGUACCCAAUUACUGACUGAUUACCUUCUUGUGAGUUGUCAUGGAUGCCUUUGGUUGCUCCAGCA